rnacentral:rRNA from 1 species
CUGGAGACAGGUGCUGCAUGGCCGUCGUCAGCUCGUGCUGUGAAGUGUGGUUAAGUCCCGCAACGAGCGCAACCCCUAUCAUCUGUUGCCAGCAUUUAAGGUGGGGACUCAGAUGAGACUGCCGGUGACAAACCGGAGGAAGGUGGGGACGACGUCAAGUCAUCAUGGCCCUUAUGUCCUGGGCUACACACGUGCUACAAUGGCCGGUACAGAGUGAAGCGAAACCGCGAGGUGAAGCAAAACGCAGAAAGCCGGUCUCAGUACGGAUUGGAGUCUGAAACUCGACUUCAUGAAGUUGGAAUCGCUAGUAAACGCGCAUCAGCAUGGCGCGGUGAAUACGUUCCCGGGCCUU